rnacentral:rRNA from 1 species
CUGCUGCCUUCCGUAGGAGUCUGGUCCGUGUCUCAGUACCAGUGUGGGGGACCUUCCUCUCAGAACCCCUACGCAUCGUCGCCUCGGUGGGCCGUUACCCCGCCGACUAGCUAAUGCGCCGCAUGCCCAUCCCCCGCCGGAAUCGCUUCCUUUGGCCGCAGACCCAUGCAGGUCCGCGGCGUUACGCGGUAUUAGUCGGGAUUUCUCCCGGUUAUCCCCCUGCGGGGGCAGGUCGCAUACGUGUUACUCACCCGUGCGCCGGUCGCCGG